ensembl:misc_RNA 7SK 7SK RNA
GGAUGUGAGGGCUAUCUGGCUGCGACAUCUCACCCCAUUGAUCACCAGAGUUGAUUCAGUUGAUCUGGCUGGCUAGGUGGGUGUCCGCCUUCCUCCCUCACCGCUCCACGUGCAUCCCUCCCAAAGCUGCACACUCAGUGGAAGAGGAAGACCUUCCCCGAAUAGAAACAGACUGGUCUCCAGUAGAGAGUAUAUGACUAGAUGUGCUCCCCUGCUAGAACCUCCAAACAAGUUCUCAAGACCUAAGCUAUCAAUCACCUUGUAAAUCCAAAACCAGCAGUUCUCCCUGAGUAUACUCAAAGGU